GCUCGUUCUGCAGUGCAGAUGCUGAAGCUGGAUGUAAAGAGACAAUCAGCACGGCCCCUGCACAAAGGUGACAUGAACAUUUAUAAAGUGUUCCAUGGGUUU